rnacentral:rRNA from 1 species
AGUGAACGCUGGCGGUAGGCCUAACACAUGCAAGUCGAACGGCAGCACAGUAAGAGCUUGCUCUUACGGGUGGCGAGUGGCGGACGGGUGAGGAAUACAUCGGAAUCUACUUUUUCGUGGGGGAUAACGUAGGGAAACUUACGCUAAUACCGCAUACGACCUACGGGUAAAAGCAGGGGAUCUUCGGACCUUGCGCGAUUGAAUGAGCCGAUGUCGGAUUAGCUAGUUGGCGGGGUAAAGGCCCACCAAGGCGACGAUCCGUAGCUGGUCUGAGAGGAUGAUCAGCCACACUGGAACUGAGACACGGUCCAGACUCCUACGGGAGGCAGCAGUGGGGAAUAUUGGACAAUGGGCGCAAGCCUGAUCCAGCCAUACCGCGUGGGUGAAGAAGGCCUUCGGGUUGUAAAGCCCUUUUGUUGGGAAAGAAAAGCAGCAGGUUAAUACCCCGCCGUUCUGACGGUACCCAAAGAAUAAGCACCGGCUAACUUCGUG